rnacentral:rRNA from 1 species
GACAGAGGGUGCAAACGUUGCUCGGAAUUACUGGGCGUAAAGCGCGUGUAGGCGGGCUGAUAAGUCGGACGUGAAAUCCCUGGGCUCAACCCAGGAACUGCAUCCGAAACUGUCAGUCUGGAGUGGUGGAGAGGGAAGCAGAAUUCCUGGUGUAGAGGUGAAAUUCGUAGAUAUCUGGAGGAACACCGGUGGCGAAGGCGGCAUCCUGGACCGGCAUUGACGCUGAG